UACGAAGGGGGGCUAGCGUUGUUCGGAAUUACUGGGCGUAAAGCGUGCGUUAGACGGUUCCGUAAGUCGGGUCGGUGAAAGCCCCGGGCUCAACCUGGGAAUUGCAUUCGAGACUGCGAAGCUAGGGUGCGGGAAGAGGGAAGCGGAAUUUCUGGUGUAGCGGUGAAAAUGCGUAGAUAUCAGAAGGAACAUCAGUGGCGAAAGCGGCUUCCUCGGUCCGAGCGCCGACGUUCAGGCACGAAAGCGUGGGGAGCAAACAGG
rnacentral:rRNA from 1 species